AUCCAGAAAAGUUGUGUUUUCAAAUUUUUCGAAAAAAUUUCAAUUCUGCAUCAUGAGGGGAGCAAUUAUAUUCUCUUUUUUACUACUAGUAAUUGCAGCUUUAUUGACGGAGACCUAUGCAAUUCCCGGAAACACGCCUCCUAGUAAGGAAAACCCAAUUGGUCACAAAGAGAAUCCCGGUCGCUAGGGCUUUCUAUGAGAAUUCACUGAUAUGGAUACUUAUUAUGUUGACGGAGGUGAUGCAGUAUCCUUAAAAGUUGCUUUAGUGUUUUAAUAAAAUUGAAAUUAUUA